rnacentral:rRNA from 1 species
UACGUAGGAGGCAAGCGUUGUCCGGAAUCACUGGGCGUAAAGGGCGCGUAGGCGGUCUGCUAAGUUGGAUGUGAAAACUCUGGGCUUAACCCAGAGCCUGCAUUCAAAACUGACAGGCUAGAGUUCUGGAGGGGAUAGCGGAAUUCCUGGUGUAGCGGUGAAAUGCGUAGAUAUCCGGUGAGGAACACCGGUGGCGAAGG